GAUCUACUCCCUCCGUCCGAAAAUACUUGUCAUCAAAAUGGAUAAAAAGAGAUGUAUCCCAAACUAAAAUGUGUCUAGAUACAUCCCCUUUUAUUCAUUUUGAUGACAAGUAUUUCCGGACGGAGGGAGUACAAG
rnacentral:pre_miRNA from 1 species